rnacentral:lncRNA from 1 species
UUUUGAGAAAGGGCUGCACUAAGCUGCUCAGACUGGUCUAGGACUUUUCAGUCCUCCUGCUUUAGUUUCCCAGGUAGCUGGGAUUAUAGGAAACACCACUGCACCUGGCUGUCAUCACCUUGUAAUGAAAUAAUGGUACACUUUAAAAUUUCUUCAACAAACACUGCUUUAUAAAUGCAGGCUCUUGUUCUAAGUUAGUAUGUCUGGUUUAGUUUUAUUUUCAUAACUUCUGCUUAGUUGUUUAGUUGGUAAAAUACACUGUAAAUUUCCAAAUAGAAGGAAGUUUUCCUUUGGAAAGAAGUAUUCUUAGGUUAAACACUUUACAUUANUACAAACUUUCUGCAUGCAUUUUUUUUCGAAAUUAAUUUCAUGCCCUAGUGUAACAAACUGGGGAAAUCAAAACAAGUAUUAUAUUUAUUAUAAAAUAAUAUAUACUCAAUAUUGAAGUGCUUGGGCACAGUGUGCUAGGUAGGGAGACCUAAUAUAGUAGGCAGAAUACUUAUAAUGAAUUAUAUUAGAAUUACAAUGAGCAAUGAAAAGCUUUUUUUUAAUUAUGAAAAAUAAAAUAUAAGCCAUUCUAUAUAAUCAGUAUUAAAAAAACUGAAGGUCAGAGUUAUGAAUGAAUGUAAGAAUAAAAACUUAGUGUUAGGAUAAUAAUAAUUGAACAAAUUUAUUUAUAUGUGUAUGAGAAAGAACCUUAAUUGAAUUAAGGGCAUGCCUGAAUAAAAUGGACAGUGGCCAGGGAGAAAAUGAGGGAAUAUUAUUUUCUAAAUAAGUUGGACUUACUUUAUACUGUAGUAUCAAAAUAAUUUCUAACAUUGGUACACAGUGGUGCCAAAGUAUCCCAGCACACAUAUCUGCUGUCUUGAAAUCCCUCUAGAUGUUGAGUCUUACAUGUAGUUUCUAUUAAUUUAAAAAACAAACAAACAAAAAACCUUGCAGAAUUUACUUCAUUAAAGUGACAAAAAAGAAAAGAUGGAGAAAAACAUACACUUAAGGUAAGAAUCCUUAGAAUAGUUGCUUUGAUAGAUGUCUAAGAAAAGAAAACUCUUGGGGCUGGGGUUGUGGCUCAGCGUUAGAGUGUUUGCCUAGCACAUGCAAGGUCCUGGGUUCAAUCCUCAGCACCACAUAUAAGUAAAUAAGGUAAAGGUAUUGUGUCAACUACAAAUAAAAAAUGUUUCUGGAUUUAAAAAAAAAAAAAAAAGAAAGGAAAAGAAAACUCUUAGCCCAGAAUAAGUAAGUCAGUAUAGGUUUGCUCAACAUAAAUUACAUUGAUCUAUAAUUAAAAAUUAUAAAAUAAUAAUUGUUUUUAAAUAUAUGAAAUGACAGUAACAAGAAAUAUUUUAAAAAUAAUGUUUAGUGAUAAAAUUUAGCAAGAUCCCUUUCUGUGUCUUCACCAAUAAUGUUUGUAUAUAAAUAUAUUUUAAAAGAUAUUCAGAUCUCUUGUGUUACAUCCUUACAGUUGAUCUCAUUGCUUUUGUAAUUAUUGAAGAAAAUACUGAAACCUUUUUUUUUUUUUUUAAAGGUUUUUAAAGACAUAACCAAAAGUACUCUAAUCCACAGAUAGAGAGUGACAUAAGUAUCCAGUAACUUCAAGGAAAUGUUUUUAAUCUGAAACAUUUCUCCUUCAUUACUGGGCUUUUCUUGUAAUUUCUUAUGAAAACCUUUAUUAUUAUCAUAUUUGUUGUGAGUUUAAUUUAUAGGAUAAUUCCUCUUGGUUUAAAACUACUGAGUACUGCAGGACUAGUAUCCCUGUUACCUGCCACUAAAUGCCAAUAAUAGUGCCCUCCGAAUUAUUGAGCCAAUCAAAAUGUGCAGGCAUAUACCCUUACUUAAGAAUUAAUAAUCUCUUAUGGUUAUUAUAAGUUAUUAAGAUGAUAUUUUGGAGUUAAGUUUAUUCUUUGUUUAUCAGCCUAUUAUUUAAGUAAAUCCUUUUGAGUCUUUACCUCCUCACUAAUGGAUAAUAUGAAAAAUCCAUAUCCAGAGAAGGGGGAAAAAGUAAUAAUAAUGAGCCAACUAGUUUAUCUCCACAAUGAGAUUCCACUAAAAAAAUCUAAAUAUAGUUUAACUUAAUUUAAUGUGGACAUAGUUUAGGAUCUGUUCCUAAGAGUAAAUGUCAUAAACAGGCAAUUGUGAAACAGUAGCCAAAGAACCCUUCUGGAAUUUUCAUAAUUACUGUGAAUGGUAAGAGCAGUUUUGAGAAAUUAUUUUUUGAAAGACGGAAUCUUAGCAUUGAAAGGGACCUAGGAAGAGAUCUGAGCCAAGUUCCCCCCUAUACUCUUAAGUCUAUUAGAUAAAUAGUGUGCUCAUUCCUCUUGUUUCAUGGAACUCCACUCCAGGAUGUGCUUACCACAGUGAUGUUGGUAAGCACAUCCUGGAGUAAUAAUGUAUAUAAACAUAAUAUAGAUUUAAAAAAUAAAACAAUUUUAGCCUUGCUUAAUACUGUUUAUCUCAAAUUCAUUCUCCUGGAAAUAUUUGUGGGUGUAGCCACUUAUACCUAGCAGUACAGUGUGUUAGGUAUAGUACCAAGCAUCUCUUGUGUAUUAUGUCAUUUAAUCCAUACCACAUCCCUAAAAGGUGGGUGUUACUGCUCAUCUCCUCUUAUAGAUGAGAGGAAGGUUAAUUAACUUGGGUGUGCUACAUAGUCAUAAGCCAGCAUUUGAACCUGCUCUGUGCUUAAAUUUGCUUUUAAUCACAAGACAGGUCCACAGUCCUGUUUUCCACAAUUUCAAAGUGUAAAAUGCAAUGUGAACUAUGCGGUUUUUUUCCUGCUUUUGUGAAUAUUUUCAUAUUUUACAGCAAAAAAAACAAGAUAUUUGAUUAUAGUUGUUGCCCAGAUAGCCCAGAAGGUUUUUAAAUAUCAUAUGCCUCUUCCUAAGUAGUUAUCGCUUCUUUAAUAUCUGAAAAAUUCUGAACUUCAAUACACAUUUGACCCCAAAGGUUUCUUGAGGGGAAGGGAUUAUGACCUAUACUAUUUUUUACAUGCAGUUAGCACAGAACAUAAUUACUUAUUUGUAUUAUAAAUGUAAGUUUACGAAUAAUGAAUGUCUAUGAACCUAUUGCCCAGCUUAAGAAAUAGAACCAUAUCAUUUAAAUCUUUCAUUUAAAAUCUUUCCCUUAUUGUUGUCCCUCUCUUUCCUAAUACUAGAAGUAAAUAGUAUCCAGCAUCAUUUGUUUAUGCAUGAUUCCCUGGCAUUUAAAAAUAACUGGAAGCAUGUUCUUAUGUUCCUAUUUUCUGGUUUUUUUCUUACUAACUUACUGUCAUCGGGAAGAUUUCACCUCAGAUUUGACUUAUCUUUGUUUAAAUGUAUUGUAGGUGACUUUCUUUUGUAGGAAUUGUUUGAAGUGUUUGCAAUAGCAAAAAAUACGACAUUAGUUUUUGUGGAUUUGUAAAAUAAGAAAAAUUGUAUACAGAAUUAUAAUCCAAAUUCAAGGUGUUAACUCACCAGUUAAAUCUUCAAUAGAACAUAAUUUCUGAACAAUUGAAGAUGUUGAAUUGUCCUUGGGCAUUUGGUAUAAUAAGAUUCAAUCUGAUUUUUUUAUUUAUUGACUAUUCAGAAAUAGAUUGAAUAGUUUCUUAUGAAAUUAUUAUUUACCUAAUGAUCCAUUAGACUUAAGGUCUUUGGCUCUGAAGUUAAUUUGCAUGAGUGUUUUCCGUCUCUCAGCCAGCAGUUCUUUACAGCAUUAAUUCUUAGUGUAGUAAGGACGAUCUACAUUAGAAUCACUGGAGCUUAUUUAUAACCUAUAUUUCUAGACAUAACACCCAAAGAUUCAAAUUCAGUAUAUAUGGAUAGGUUCAGGAUUCUGUUUUCUUAAAAAGCACCCCAGAUGAUUCGUAUGAAGACCAGUAUUUGAGAACCACUUCUUUACAAGAAUUAGGGGAUAUUACCCAUUACUGGGAUCUUGGGGCUCUUAGGUCCUUAACUAUCUUCUUUCUUUCCCCCUGUCUCAGCUUUCUGAACUUGGAAUUAGGAGACUUAGGUUCAAGUCCAGUAUUGUCACUUUCUGGCUAGUGAUCUUGAGCAAGUCACUUAAAUUCUGCAACUAUUUCCUCAUCUGUACAGUGGAAGCAAUGAUGUUUUUCCUGUUCAGCCUCCAACAUAUUUGUGAAUAAAGAAAAAUGAGAUAAUAAGAUAAUAAUUGUCCAUUAUAAAGUGCUACACAACUGUAAGUUUGUUGCAUUUUUUUUAUGUCUCCCAAGAUUAUUUUCUUGGGUCACUGGUACUUUGGGUGGCAGGUCCUAUAAUAGGAGGAAUCCUCACCAGUGCUUUCCAGGUGGCACUCUGAAUUUAUAGCAGUAUGACUCAGUGCCCAUACUCUUAAUAUUAGGACACCUGGAUGGAACAUUCUUCUGCCUCUGAUUUCUUAAACAGUUUUUAUUUAUAUAUCAUACUGUGAUUUAGCUGCAGCGACGCCAUGAGCAAAUGAAAAAGAAUUUGGAAGCCCAGCAUAAGGAAUUAGAAGAAAAACGUCGUCAGUUUGAGGAGGAGAAAGCAAACUGGGAAGCUCAACAACGUAUUUUAGAACAACAGAACUCUUCGAGGUAACUCAUAUCAAAUUCUUAAGAAAUAUGUUUAUUAAUGUUUUAAAUAAUUAUUUCCCUAUUUUAAAAACAUCAGAAUACUAUUUUAAAAGUUAUCACCCACUAUCAUGCAUUCUCACACACAGUUGCUUUCAUGGGUCUUUUUAUAUGCAUGGAUUCAUUAGUGUAUUUUUCCAGUAUAUUUUCCAUGACUUAAUCUAUAAUUUAUAAUUACAAUUUUAAAGCACCAUAAAUGUUCUCUCCAGUUAACUCACCUUAACUGAUAUCUUACUUCCCUCCCCCACCCCAUUGUUGGAUAUAAUUUUUAUUUUCAGAAUUUGGUAUGCAUGGAAAACAAUGAUGUUACAAAGGUUUUUAUACAUUUAGGUAUGUUUUAAUUGCAUCGAAUGGCUUCUUUAAGAUAAGCUUAAGAUAUGAGGAUGUACAUCUAAUUUCUAAUUCUUUUAAUUUAUUCCUCCUCCUUAAUUUUACUGUCUUUCUACUAAUUAUUGGCUCAAAGAUAAUGAAAAAUAUAUUUGAAAAAGCAAAUAUACUUCAUAAUGUAAAUAGCAGCAGGAGAAAAGGGCACCACCCUUAGCUGAAGUUUUUCAAAUAUGGUAUUUCAUUUGGGAAGAAUUGUUCUCAAUAUUAAAAUUAUUAAAAUGGUUUUAUUAUAUUUUUAAUGCUUAUCCUGAAAUUUUGUCUAACAUUUGAUUGUUUAAAAGUAUUAAUAUAGAGUAGCAUUAUCUUCAUAGUUUACUCUUCCAUAUCUUAUAAUUUUUUAAAUGACAAAGUAAUGUUUGAAAAUCUAACAUAUAGUUAGAUUAGCAAUUGCUACCAUAUUUUGUCUUUUAUAUUUAUAACAUGGUCACUGGUCUCAGUUGUUUUCUUCUAAUCACUUCUUAGGACCUUGGAAAAGAACAAGAAGAAAGGGAAGAUCUUUUAAACUCUCUAUUGACCACCAGUUAUGUAUUAGUUGCCAAUAUGCCAGCUUGGACAUCAGUGUUUGUUGGAUCCGUUUGACCAAUUUGCACCAGUUUUAUCCAUAAUGAUGGAUUUAACAGCAUGACAAAAAUUAUUUUUUUGUUGUUGUUCUUGAUGGAGAUUAAGAUGCCUUGAAUUGUCUAGGGUGUUAUGUACUUAGAAAGUAACAGCUCUAAGUACCUUUCUACAUUUUCUUUUUUUUUUCUUUUUUCUUUUUAAUUUUUAUUAAAAAGAUAUCUUCAAUUUAAUGCAAGAGAACAUUUUACUGUUGUACAAUCAUGUUCUGGUGGUUUGAUUGUUUACAGGAUAUUCCAAAAUAAAAGGACUCUGGAAGGUUUUCAUCGAGGAUAAAUUGCCAUAAUUUGAUGCAAACUAUGCUUCUCUAUGAUAAUUAUAAUACAAAGGUUCCAUUCAGUGCAGCCUAUACAAUAAUGUAAUUUAGUCUAACACAGUUGACCCUAUUUUUUGACACUUCCAUUGUUUAAAAGUACACAUGGAAAAAAAAAAACCCUAUAUGCUUACAGUGCACCUAGAGCUUUUUUAUAACAACCUCUUUUUUGUUUGUUUUGGAUUCUUUAAAUAUGUAUUAUUCUCAUUUAGUGCCCUCUUUAGCCAGAAUCUCAUUACUGCUUCAUUUUUGUAAUAACAUUUAAUUUAGUUAUUUUCCAUAUAUUUGCCCUGCUAAAAUAGAAUAUAGCAUCUUUCAUAUGGUAGGAACCAACAAGGAAACUUUCCUUUAACUCCCUUUUUACAUUUUAUGGUAAGUAGCAGGGGGAAAAUGCAUUUAUAGAUCAUUUCUAGGCAAAUUGUGAAGCUAACGACCAACCUGUUUCUACCUAUAUGCAGUCUCUUUAUUUUAUUAGAAAUGGGCAUCAUGUCCUCUUAAAGAGAAAAAAAAAGUCACCAUUCUGCAUCUAGCUGUAUUCCAUAUAUUGCAUUUCUGUAUUUUUUGUUGUAUUGUAAAAAAUUCACAUAAUAAAUAAUGUUGUGAUGU